UGCAUUUACUACUGUAAAUCGCUCUGGAUAAGAGCGUCUGCUAAAUUACUAAAA
rfam:Salmo salar isolate Sally breed double haploid chromosome ssa09, whole genome shotgun sequence.